UGCACAGGUGGAGCUUUCUCUACGGCUACUACAACACCUGCACAGGUGGAGAUUUCUCUGUGGAUACUAGAACACCUGCACAGGUGGAGAUUUCUCUGUGGAUACUAGAACACCUGCACAAGUGGAGUUUUCUCUAUGGAUACUAGAACACCUGCAAAGGUGGAGCUUUCUCUACAGAUACUAGAACACCUGCACAGGUGGAGCUUUCUCUAUAUGGCUACUAGAACACCUGCACAGGUGGAGCUUUC